AGUGAACGCUGGCGGCAGGCCUAACACAUGCAAGUCGAGCGGCAGCGCGGGGGCAACCCUGGCGGCGAGCGGCGGACGGGUGAGGAAUUCGUCGGAAUCUGCCUAUUUGUGGGGGAUAACGUAGGGAAACUUACGCUAAUACCGCAUACGUCCUACGGGAGAAAGUGGGGGACCGCAAGGCCUUACGCGGAAAGAAGAGCCAACGACCUAGUAGCAAGUUGGUGGGGUAAAGGCCCACCAAGGCGACGAUCGGUGGCUGGGCUGAGAGGAUGAUCAGCCACACUGGAACGGAGAAUCAGCCCAGACUCCUACGGGAGGCAGCAGUGGGGAAUAUUGGACAAUGAGCGCAAGCCUGAUACAGCCAUGCAGCGUGUGUGAAGAAGGCCUUCAGGUUGUAAAGCACUUUUGUCCAGAAAGAAAUCCAUGGGGCUAAUACCUUCGGGGGAUGACGGUACCGGAAGAAUAAGCACCGGCUAACUUCGUG
rnacentral:rRNA from 1 species